UCCGACUUAACGUCGGCAGUCUCUUUAGAGUGCCCAACUAAAUGCUGGCAACUAAAGACAAGGGUUGCGCUCGUUGCGGGACUUAACCCAACAUCUCACGACACGAGCUGACGACAGCCAUGCAGCACCUGUACUGCGACCCCGAAGGGCUACGACAUCUCUGCCGUAUUCCACAGUAUGUCAAGUCCAGGUAAGGUUCUUCGCGUAGCAUCGAAUUGAACCACAUGCUCCACCGCUUGUGCGGGCCCCCGUCAAUUUCUUUGAGUUUUAAUCUUGCGACCGUACUUCCCAGGCGGGAUACUUAACACGUUAGCUCCGGCACUGAAGGGGUCAAUACCUCCAACACCAAGUAUCCAUCGUUUACGGCGUGGACUAC
rnacentral:misc_RNA from 1 species